AAAAAUAAACGUACAUCGAUUCAUUAUUUUGUCCAUGUAUCUAAUUGCAAUAUAGUUCAUUAUCUGCUCUUAAAACUGGAUAUUUAUUUCACGUCUGUUUUCUUUUCUUUCUUUUUUCUGAGUCUUUUCACGCGGUGUAAAGUCCAAACACAAGAUAACGAGCUGCUGGCUGCUUUUCCUGCUCCGGAUAAAAUAUUUAUUUUAAUGGCAAUUGCAAGCAUCGCAGUAGUCGGCGUUCUUUCGGUAGCAUUGGCUCCAUACAUCAAGAACCAGGGUGACGGUGAACUCUGCACCCCGGCUCUGUGAAGUCUGAGCUGGCCAGACACCCUCACUGAUAACCCUCAGCUGGAGGCUCUUCUCCUUCUUCAUGAAGACCCCUGGGAGGGAGCGCAAACCAGCAUCUACUGUGCCGUGGCGGAGGACCUGGAGAACGUCUCGGAAGCAGUGACUGCAGCCCUGCAUUCGUCGCUCCUCAAGGGCAGAAAUGAAGAAACAGCGAAGAGGCUGUGAGAUGUGAGCUGUACCCUGCUGGGGGUGUAGUGGGACUGAACUCGAGACCCCUGCAUCAGGCCUGGGCCUUUCGAAGAGUUAAGAGAUUGCCGUGGCUUUGCAGCUUUCCUCUUCAUUUACUAGCUCUGGAGUUUCUAAUUCUGAGUGAAACAGACCAAUUUUGACUGCUUGUAAAAGUCCCUUCUGUCUUUGUGGUGGGAUUUUAUGUUUCUAGGUAUGGGAUGUUGUGAUGUUGGUUUUAUUCUGUACAUUAGGCAGGGUACCUAAUCUCAAAACACCAUGAAAACAGAUCAACUCUGUUACACUAGCCACAGUGUAUAUCUAUUGCCUUAAUGUAUAGAUACAAUACAGUUAUAUAAUUUGAGGAAAUGGAUGUCUUUUUUUCUUUUUUUUUUCUUACGCCCCAUUGUCACAAAGACGGCUGCAGUGGGUGACGUCAGAC